rnacentral:rRNA from 1 species
UGAGGAAUCUUCCACAAUGGACGAAAGUCUGAUGGAGCGACACCGCGUGAAGGAUGAAGGUCUAACGAUUGUAAACUUCUUUUCUGAGGGAGCAUAAUGAGAGUACCUCAGGAAUAAGGGACGGCUAAUUACGUGCCAGCAGCCGCGGUAAUACGUAAGUCCCAAGCGUUACCCGGAAUUAUUGGGUGUAAAGGGUUCGUAGGUGGAUUUUUAAGUCAGGUAUGAAAGACCGGAGCUCAACUCCGAGUUUGUACUCGAAACUGGGAAUCUAGAAUCAGGGAGAGGUAAGCGGAAUUCUAAGUGUAGGGGUGCAAUCCGUAGAUACUUAGAAGAACACCAAAAGCGAAGGCAGCUUACUGGAACUGUAUUGACACUGAGGAACGAAAGCGUGGGGAGCGAAAA